GUCAGGCAUAGCAUAGUGGUUUGAGUGUUGCACUAGGACUCCGGAGACCAGGGUUCGAAUCCCAACUUGGCC